GCAGCUCAGUUGGUUAGAGUGUGGCACUGAUAAUGCCAAGGUUGAAGGUCUGAUCCCUAUAUGGAACA